UGCAUGUGAUGAUAACCUUAAUCUGAACAAAAUCUAUGCUGAUUACACAUUCAAAUUAAACCAAAAGGAUUCUGACAUGCA
rfam:Musca domestica strain aabys unplaced genomic scaffold Scaffold18823, whole genome shotgun sequence.